AGCGAACGCUGGCGGCAGGCUUAACACAUGCAAGUCGAACGGUAAGGCCCUUCGGGGUACACGAGUGGCGAACGGGUGAGUAACACGUGGGUGAUCUGCCCUGCACUUCGGGAUAAGCCUGGGAGACUGGGUCUAAUACCGGAUAGGACUCCGGACUGCAUGGUCUGGGGUGGAAAGCUUUUGCGGUGUGGGAUGGGCCCGCGGCCUAUCAGCUUGUUGGUGGGGUGAUGGCCUACCAAGGCGACGACGGGUAGCCGGCCUGAGAGGGUGACCGGCCACACUGGGACUGGGAUACGGCCCAGACUCCUACGGGAGGCAGCAGUGGGGAAUAUUGCACAAUGGGCGCAAGCCUGAUGCAGCGACGCCGCGUGAGGGAUGACGGCCUUCGGGUUGUAAACCUCUUUCAGCAUCGACGAAGCGAAAGUGACGGUAGGUGCAGAAGAAGGACCGGCCAACUACGUGCCAGCCGCCGCGGUAA
rnacentral:rRNA from 1 species